rnacentral:rRNA from 1 species
UACGUAGGGCGCAAGCGUUAUCCGGAAUUAUUUGGGCGUAAAGAGCUCGUAGGCGGCUUGUCGCGUCGGUUGUGAAAGCCCGGGGCUUAACCCCGGGUCUGCAUUCGAUACGGGCAGGCUUGAGUGUGGUAGGGGAGAUUGGAAUUCCUGGUGUAGCGGUGGAAUGCGCAGAUAUCAGGAGGAACACCGAUGGCGAAGGCAGGUCUCUGGGCAUUAACUGACGCUGAGGAGCGAAAGCAUGGGGAGCGAACAGG